ensembl:lncRNA
GAGAGUAAGACAGUAGGAGAGUAAGACAGUAGGACAGUAGGACAGUAAGACAGUAGGAGAGUAAGACAGUAAGACAGUAGGACAGUAAGACAGUACGAGAGUAAGACAGUAGGAGAGUAAGACAGUAGGACGGUAAGACAGUAGGUAGGUAAGACAGUAAGACAGUAGGACAGUAAGACAGUAAGACAGUAGGACAGUAAGACAGUAGGAGAGUAGACAGUAGGACAGUAAGACAGUAGGAGAGUAAGACAGUAGGAGAGUAAGACAGUAAGACAGUAGGACAGUAAGACAGUAAGACAGUAGGAGAGUAAGACAGUAAAGACAGUAGGACAGUAAGACAGUAGGACAGUAAGCCAGUAAGACAGUAAGAGAGUAAGACAGUAGGACAGUAAGACAGUAGGAGAGUAAGACAGUAAGACAGUAGGACAGUAAGACAGUAAGACAGUAGGAGAGUAAGACAGUAAGACAGUAGGACAGUAAGACAGUAGGACAGUAAGACAGUAGGAGAGUAAGACAGUAAGACAGUAGGACAGUAAGACAGUAGGACAGUAAGACAGUAGGACAGUAAGACAGUAGGAGAGUAUGACAGUAGGACAGUAAGACAG